UUCGACCUCAAAUCAGGUAGGACUACCCGCUGAACUUAAGCAUAUAAAAAACCCGGGAGGA
rnacentral:rRNA from 1 species